rnacentral:rRNA from 1 species
AUACGUAGGGGGCAAGCGUUGUCCGGAAUUACUGGGCGUAAAGGGAGCGUAGGCGGCCGUAUAAGUUAGAUGUGAAAUCCUCGUGCUUAACGCGGGGGCUGCAUCUAAUACUGUAUGGCUUGAGUGCAGGAGAGGAAAGUGGAAUUCCUAGUGUAGCGGUGAAAUGCGUAGAUAUUAGGAGGAACAUCGGUGGCGAAGGCGACUUUCUGGACUGUAACUGACGCUGAGGCUCGAAAGCGUGGGGAGC